rnacentral:rRNA from 1 species
AUGAACGCUGGCGGCGUGCCUAAUACAUGCAAGUCGAGCGAACGGACGAGAAGCUUGCUUCUCUGAUGUUAGCGGCGGACGGGUGAGUAACACGUGGAUAACCUACCUAUAAGACUGGGAUAACUUCGGGAAACCGGAGCUAAUACCGGAUGAUAUUUUGAACCGCAUGGUUCAAAAGUGAAAGACGGUCUUGCUGUCACUUAUAGAUGGAUCCGCGCUGCAUUAGCUAGUUGGUAAGGUAACGGCUUACCAAGGCAACGAUGCAUAGCCGACCUGAGAGGGUGAUCGGCCACACUGGAACUGAGACACGGUCCAGACUCCUACGGGAGGCAGCAGUAGGGAAUCUUCCGCAAUGGGCGAAAGCCUGACGGAGCAACGCCGCGUGAGUGAUGAAGGUCUUCGGACCGUAAAACUCUGUUAUUAGGGAAGAACAUAUGUGUAAGUAACUGUGCACAUCUUGACGGUACCUAAUCAGAAAGCCACGGCUAACUACGUG